rnacentral:lncRNA from 1 species
GCUUUGGUAACUCAGCAAGUUUGCAGUCUGUUUCAUGCAUCUCUUUCUCUACUGUGCCAUUAUCCUCUUCAACUGAUUCUGAUUGGUUCACAUUCUCUUUGAGUUCAUCCAAAGUUUCAGCAACUUCUAUUCUAUCCCCGUCCUCUUCAUGUGCAGGUACCUCCAGAGUUUCUUCUACAUCCUUGUCAUAUUCUGCAUGUCCAGUGGGCCCCUGUUUUUCGUUUAGGUCCUCACCGUCACCCUCCUCACAUAGGCUAUUAGUUGCCUCAAAAUUGCAGUCUAUUUCAUGCAUCUCUUUCUCUACUGUGCCAUUAUCCUUUUCAACUGAUUCUGACUGGUUCACAUUCUCUUUGAGUUCAUCCAAAGUUUCAGCAACUUCUAUUCUAUCCCCGUUCUCUUCAUGUGCAGGUACCUCUAGAGUUUCUUCUACAUCCUUGUCAUACUCCGCAUGUCCAGUGGACGCCUCUUUUUCGUUUAGGUCCUCACUGUCACCCUCCUCACAUAGGUUAUUAGUUGCCUCAAAAUUGCAGUCUGUUUCAUGCAUCUCUUUCUCUACCCUGCCAUUAUCCUCUUCAACUGAUUCUGACUGGUCCACAUUCUCUUUGAGUUCAUCCAAAGUUUCAGCAACUUCUAUUCUAUCCCCGUCCUCUUCAUGUGCAGGUACCUCCAGAGUUUCUUCUACAUCCUUGGCAUACUCUGCAUGUCCAGUGGACCGCUCUUUUUCACUUAGGUCCUCACUGUCACCCUCCUCACAUAGGUUAUUAGUUGCCUUAAAAUUGCAGUCUGUUUCAUGCAUCUCUUUCUCUACUGUGCCAUUAUCCUCUUCAACUGAUUCUGAAUGGUCCACAUUCUCUUUGAGUUCAUCCAAAGUUUCGGCAACUUCUAUUCUAUUCCCGUCCUCUUCAUGUGCAGGUACCUCCAGAGUUUCUUCUACAUCCUUGGCAUACUCUGCAUGACCAGUGGGCCCCUCUUUUUCAUUUAGGUCCUCACUGUCACCCUCUUCACAUAGGUUAUUAGUUGCCUCAAAAUUGCAGUCUGGGUUCUUUAGAUCCUCUCGAGCAUCUGUCACCUUCUCAUCCUCUGUACUCUGAUCAAUCAGUACUUCCGUU